rnacentral:rRNA from 1 species
GACGAACGCUGGCGGCGUGCCUAAUACAUGCAAGUCGAACGCAGUGGGGACGGGUGAGUAACACGUGGGUAACCUCCCAUCAGAGGGGAUAACCCUUGGAAACACGUGCUAAACCGAUAGUGAUGGAUGAACACGCGGGGUAGUAGCUAGUUGGUGAGGUAACGGCUCACCAAGGCCACGAUGCAUAGCCGACCUGAGAGGAUGAUCGGCCACACUGGAACUGAGACACGGUCCAGACUCCUACGGGAGGCAGCAGUGGGGAAUCUUCGGCAAUGGGCGAAAGUCUGAUCGAGCAAUGCCGCGUGAGUGAAGAAGGUUUUCGGAUCGUAAAGCUCUGUUGUUAGGGAAGCGGUAUCUACACAGAAAGCCACGGCUAACUACGUGCCAGCAGCCGCGGUAAUUC